rnacentral:rRNA from 1 species
ACACGGGGGGGGCAAGCGUUGUCCGGAAUUAUUGGGCGUAAAGGGCGCGUAGGUGGGAAAGCAAGUCUGGGGUGCAAUCUUGUGGCUUAACUGCAAGCUUGCCCUGGAUACUACUUUUCUUGAAUUCGGGAGAGGGAAACGGAAUUCCUGGUGUAGCGGUGAAAUGCGUAGAUAUCAGGAAGAACACCGGUGGCGAAGGCGGUUUCCUGGCCCGAUAUUGACACUGAUGCGCGAAAGUGUGGGGAGCAAACAGGAUUAGAUACCCUGGUAGUCCACACUAUAAACGUUGGGCACUAGGUGUUGGUCUGCAAGGAUCAGCGCCGUAGCAAACGCAUUAAGUGCCCCGCCUGGGGAGUACGACCGCAAGGUUGAA